GUUACUGUACAGUGGCAUAAGCACAUCGUGUGAGCCCGUGUAUGCCGGGGUAGAGCAAGUAGCCCUCCCCUGUCUCAUCGAUACCAGCAGAACCUCCUCAGUCUCAGUACUCUUGUUUCUAUGAAGGAAAAGUUUGGCUACUAACAGUAGCAUUGUGAUGGCCAGUAUAUCCAGUCCAUGGAUAAAGAAAAUGCAUCUGCAUCUCCUGCCCCUCUUCCUUCUAAGCAAAAGGAAAUAAACAUCCUGUGCCAAAGGUAUUGGUCAUUUAGAAUGUCGGUAGCCAUCCAUCAGUGCUUUUAGCUAUUAUGAGUGUAGGACACUGAGCCAUCCGUGGGUCAGGAUGCAGUUAUUUAUAAAAGUCUCCAGGUGAACAUGGCUGAAGAAGAUUUUUUCUAGUAUAUUAAUAAUUGACUAGGAAGAUGAACUUUUUUCAGAUCUUUGGACAGCUGAUAAUUUAAAUCUGGAUGGGCAGCUUGCACUCACCAGUAGACCAAAAGACAUCUUUGGUAUUCUUAUAAAUGGAACUUACACAGAAGAAAUAGGGAUAUAAUAACCACUAAAGUUUUGUUUUCAAAAUCAAACUAAUUCUUAGAGCUUUUUUAUUAGUUAGUCUUGAAACUAAUGUUAAGUAUCUGGCAGAGAACAGUUAAUCCCUAAGGUCUUGACAAAACAGAAGAAAAACAAGCCUCCUCAUCCUAGUCUUUUCUAGCAAAGGGAUAAAACUUAGAUGGCAGCUUGUACUGUCAGAAUCCCGUGUAUCCAUUUGUUCUUCUGUUGGAGAGAGAUGAGACAUUUGACCCUUAGCUCCAGUUUUCUUCUGAUGUUUCCAUCUUCCAGAAUCCCUCAAAAAACAUUGUUUGCCAAAUCCUGGUGGCAAAUACUUGCACUCAGUAUUUCACACAGCUGCCAACGCUAUUGAGUUCCUGCACUUUGUGAUUUAAAUCCACUCUAAACCUUCCCUCUAAGUAUAGAGGGAGGACCCUUAUGUGGAGUUUCCUAGUGGGCUUCUCAACUUUUGAUCCUCAGCUCUGUGGUUUUAAGACCACAGUGUGACAGUUCCCUGCCACACACCCCUUUCCUCCUACCAACCCACCUUUGAGAUUCAUAUAUAGCCUUUAACACUAUGCAACUUUGUACUUUGUGUAGCGGGGCGGGGUGGGGGGAAAGAAACUAUUAUCUGACACACUGGUGCUAUUAAUUAUUUCAAAUUUAUAUUUUUGUGUGAAUGUUUGUGUUUUGUUUAUCAUGAUUAUAGAAUACGGAAUUUAUGUAAAUAUACUUGGUCCUAUUUCUAGAAUGACACUCUCUGUUCACUUUGCUCAAUUUUUCCUCUUCACUGGCACAAUGUAUCUGAAUACCUCCUUCCCUUCCUUCUAGAAUUCUUUGGAUUGUACUUGUUCCCCACUACUUUGCUCUCUGCCUUGUGUUUGCAGCAUCUCCAUUCUCUAAAAUUAAUAUAAUUGCUUUCCUCCACACCCAGCCACUGUAAAGAGGUAACUUGAGUCCUCUUCCAUUGCAGUCCUGAUGAUCCUAACCUGCAGCACCGUGGUUUUACAAUGUUCCAGAGCAGGAACGCCAGGUUGACAAGCUAUGGUAGGAUUAGGAAAGUUUGCUGAAGAGGAUCUUUGACGCCAUAGUGGGACUAGCCAGGAAUGAGGGAGAAAUGCCCUUUCUGGCAAUUGUUGGAGCUGGAUAGGUCAAUUUUAUAAGGGAGUACAUUUUGACUGAGCACUUUUAGGGCAUCAGGAACAGUGCUAAUGAUGGGUAGACUGGGAGAGGUGGUGUAACUUAGUUCUUGAUGAUCCCACUUCCUGUUUCCAUCUGCUUGGGAUAUACGAGAGUUUACCACAAGUGUUUUGACCUGAUAUACUCCUGAGCUUUCACUCUGCUGCUUCUCCCAGGCCUCUUCUACUAUGGCAGGAGAUGUGGUGUGCUCUUGCCAAGUUUUCACAUCAUCGUUUUUCCUGGCUAGUUCAUUUCAUUAAGUGGCUACAUCCUAACAUACGCAUUUGGUCAAGGUUGCAGAAGAGGACUGAAGAUUGACUGCCGAGCUAGUUUGGGUGAAGUUCACUCCAGCAAGUCUCAGGCCACAAUGGGGUGGGGUGGUUUGGUUUGGUUUCCUUUUAAUUUUCUUUUUGUUAUUUGCUUUUCUCCUCCACCUGUGUGGUAUAUUUUUUAAACAGAAUUUUAUUUUUAAAAUAAAAGGUUCUUUACAAGAUGAUACCUUAAUUACACUCCUGCAACACAGCCAUUAUUGUAUUGUCUAGCUCCAGUUAUCUGUAUUUUAUGUAAUGUAAUUGACAGGAUGGCUGCUGCAGAAUGCUGGUUGACACAGGGAUUAUUACACUGCUAUUUUUCCCUGAAUUUUUUUCCUUUGAAUUCCAACUGUGGACCUUUUAUAUGUGCCUUCACUUUAGCUGUUUGCCUUAAUCUCUACAGCCUUGCUCUCCAGGGUGGUUAAUAAAGUGCAACACUUGGCAUUUUUUAUGUUUUAAGAAAAACAGUAUUUUAUUUAUAAUAAAAUCUGAAUAUUUGUAAC
rnacentral:lncRNA from 1 species